rnacentral:rRNA from 1 species
GCUCAUGGCCACACCGCCUGGUUCACGGCUGAUCUCGUUUGAUCUCGGAAGUUAAGAUAGGUUAGGCCUGGUUAGUACUUGGAUGGGAGACCGCCUGGGAAUACCAGGUGCUGUAAGCU